UUUUCUUUCUUUUUUCUUUUUUCUUUUUUUCUUCUUUUGGCCAGCAGCCUCGCCCAGCCACGGCGAGGCCAAGCCUGGCCGUGGUUGGGCGAGGCUCGGCCUCGCCCUCGUCAGCCAGUCGUCGGCCAUGGUCGAGGCCGGCGACCGGCCAAAAAAAAAAGAAGAAAAAAAGAAGAAGAAAAGAGAUGAGA
rfam:Eucalyptus grandis cultivar BRASTZ1 unplaced genomic scaffold scaffold_8, whole genome shotgun sequence.